CCCAAAAUUGGCCCAAAAGAACCCCAAAAUCAGCCCCAAAAUACCCCAAAAUCCACCCUAAAAAACCCCAAAAUCGGCACCAAAAUUACCCCAAAAAACCCCCAAAAUUGCCUCAAAAUUACCCCAAAAAAUCCCCAAAAUCAGCCCCAAAAUCCACCUAAAAACCCCCAAAAUCGGCCCUAAAAUUCACCCCAAAAAUCUCCAAAAUCCCCCAAAAAUCCCUCAAAACCCCCUGAAUUACCCCAAAUUUUCCCAAAAAAAUCCCAAAAAUCCCAAAAUUCUCCAAAAAUCCUCCCGAAUUCACAAACUCCCCCCAUGAAUUCCCAAAAUGUCCCAAAAAAUAAGAAAAAAUCCCACAAAAAUUCCAAAAAAAUCCCAAAAAAAUCCCCAAAAAUCCCUAAAACUCCCCAAAUUUCCUUCCCAAAAUUCCCGAAAUUCCCGAAAUUCCCAAAAUUCCGGGAAUUCCCGAAAUUCCAGAUCAAGAACAUGUGGGCCGCCUUCCCGCCGGACGUGGCCGGGAACGUGGAUUACAAAAACAUUUGUUACGUCAUCACCCACGGCGAGGACAAGGAGGGCGAGUGAGCCCAAAAUCCCCGGAAUUCGCCCCAAAAAUCCCGGAGUCCGCGGCAGAAAAUACGGGAAUAAACGGAAAAAAAAUUGGGAUUUUACGGAAAAAAAUAUGGGAAUUUAUUGCAAAAAAUCUGGGAAUAAACGGAAAAAAAAUUGGGAUUUUUACGGUAAAAAAAUUCGGGAAUUUAUGGCAAAAAAUCCAGGAAUAAAUGCAAAAAAAUUUGGGAUUUUUCUGCAAAAAAUCCGGGAAUUCUUGGCCAAAAAGAUUGGGAAAUUCACCCCCAAAAACUCCGGGAAUUUGAGGCUUUUUUGGAAUUUUGGGAUUUUGGGAUGGAAUAUGUGGGAUUUUGGGGUGGAAUUUUGGGGUUUUCUGUUGGAAUUUGUGGGAUUUUUUGGGGUGGAAUUUUGGGGUGGAAUUUUGGGAUUUUCUGUUGGAAUUUUGGUAUUUUCCGGUGCAAUUUUGGAGUUCCGUCGGAAUUUUGGGGUUUUUGCGGAAUUUGGGGAUUUUCUCUUGAAAUUUUGGGGUUUUGGUUGGAAUUUUGGGAUUUUCCAUCAGAAUUUUGGGUUUUUUUGUUGGAAUUUGUGGGAUUUUGAGGUGGAAUUUUGA
rnacentral:lncRNA from 1 species